rnacentral:rRNA from 1 species
UUAAAGAGGACGUGAAACCGCUGAGAUUGAAGCGGAUAGAGUCGACGAAACUCUGAUCAACAUUCAAUCGAUUCGACGAAUAUCGUACGUCUGGCAUAUGUACGCGCGUAUUGAUGCUCAUCAUCAUCACUGAUGGAGAUGAGCGUUGAUGAAGGGGCGACAUUGCUACGUUGCGAUUUGCUAACAAUUCGUUGUAUGUAUGUGUUGUACGCCACGUGCGUAGGGCAUGUGCAUGUGAAAAAAUCGGUGAAUUUGUUGAUGGUAUGCGUCGAGUGGCUUGUCAUGGUGUAUCAUUGCUAUGUGCGAUGUAUAUUGCAGUAAUGUAAUAUAAUGUAGACAGUAGAUCAUAGAUGGCAUGCACAUCAAUGAAUCUUGUCUUGCGUAUCGUACGAAUCGAAUAAUACACACGCGCAUAUACACACACACGAACAUGCGCAAAUAAAGAUUGUGUAUGUGAGAACGUGUGUGUGUGUGUGUGUUUUUGAAGGCAAUUUGAUAUCACGGCGAUAAGUGCUAGUGUAAUGUGUAUGACCACUAACUCGAUGUGAACGUCGAUCACCUAUCCGACCCGUCUUGAAACACGGACCAAGGAGUCUAGCACAUACGCGAGUCAAUGGGUAUAUGAAAAACCUAUAGGCGUAAUGAAAGUGAAGACAUGUUUUUGUGUGCGUAUGUGCAUGUAUGUGUACAUGAUUGCGCGCAAGCGGUUGAUGUGCGAUUCGUCGUCGUUGUUGUGCAUGGAUGGUGGUGAUGGUGAUGAUGGUGAAAACCAUCAGCAACAGCAGCAGCAGCACAUGCAUCAUAUGGUAGACGAAGCAGCAUAGCCCCGUUCACGUUGUUUGCGUUCGUGCGAACGUACGUAAACAAGGGAACGGAGGAAGAGCGUAUGCGCUGGUACCCGAAAGAUGGUGAACUAUGCCUGAGCAGGAUGAAGCCAGAGGAAACUCUGGUGGAAGUCCGAAGCGGUUCUGACGUGCAAAUCGAUCGUCUGACUG